UUUAUACGUCGAAUUUCGGUCGCGUCGAAUGCAAUUCAAACAAUAGAUAAUGAAGCUUAAGGAGGUUUAACAUCUCAUUAUCUAUUGUCUUAAUUGCAUUCGACGCAACCAAACUUCGACUUAUAAA